UACGUAGGGUGCAAGCGUUGUCCGGAAUUAUUGGGCGUAAAGAGCUCGUAGGCGGUUUGUUGCGUCGGCUGUGAAAUCCCGAGGCUCAACCUCGGGUCUGCAGUCGAUACGAGCAAACUAGAGUGUUGCAGGGGAGACUGGAAUUCCUGGUGUAGCGGUGAAAUGCGCAGAUAUCAGGAGGAACACCGGUGGCGAAGGCGGAUCUCUGGGCCGUAACUGACGCUGAGGAGCGAAAGCGUGGGGAGCAAACAGG
rnacentral:rRNA from 1 species